rnacentral:rRNA from 1 species
AUUGAACGCUGGCGGCAGGCCUAACACACGCAAGUCGAGCGGAUGAAGGGAGCUUGCUCCUGGAUUCAGCGGCGGACGGGUGAGUAAUGCCUAGGAAUCUGCCUGGUAGUGGGGGAUAACGUCCGGAAACGGGCGCUAAUACCGCAUACGUCCUGAGGGAGAAAGUGGGGGAUCUUCAGACCUCACGCUAUCAGAUGAGCCUAGGUCGGAUUAGCUAGUUGGUGGGGUAAAGGCCUACCAAGGCGACGAUCCGUAACUGGUCUGAGAGGAUGAUCAGUCACACUGGAACUGAGACACGGUCCAGACUCCUACGGGAGGCAGCAGUGGGGAAUAUUGGACAAUGGGCGAAAGCCUGAUCCAGCCAUGCCGCGUGUGUGAAGAAGGUCUUCGGAUUGUAAAGCACUUUAAGUUGGGAGGAAGGGCAGUAAGUUAAUACCUUGCUGUUUCGACGUUACCAACAGAAUAAGCACCGGCUAACUUCGUG